UUGUUUAUCCCGCCUAUAUACCACCGUCGUCAGCUUACCCUGUGAAGGCCCUAUAGUAAGCAAAAUUGGCAAAGCCCAAAACGUCAGGUCGAGGUGUAGCGUAUGAAAGGGGAAGAAAUGGGCUACAUUCUCUAAACCAGGGAAUCACGAAUAAUUCAUUGAAACAUGAAUCUGAAGGAGGAUUUAGCAGUAAACGGAAAAUAGAGCGUUCCGCUGAAACCGGCCCUGAAGCGCGCACACACCGCCCGUCACUCUCCCCGAGCUUAAAAACUGCAAAUAAAUAAAACCCUACAACUGCAAAGGGGAGGCAAGUCGUAACAUGGUAAGUGUACCGGAAGGUGUACUUGGAAAAAU
rnacentral:rRNA from 1 species